rnacentral:rRNA from 1 species
UCUUGGUUUAAUAAGGAAUGCCCUGGAUGAAAACUUCACACUUAAGCAUGCUCUGGUGGGAGUAGUACUAGGAUAGGUGACCUCUUGGGAAGUCUCAACGGGGGCAACAA